rnacentral:rRNA from 1 species
AACGAACGCUGGCGGCAUGCCUAACACAUGCAAGUCGAACGAGACCUUCGGGUCUAGUGGCGCACGGGUGCGUAACGCGUGGGAACCUGCCCUUAGGUUCGGAAUAACCCCCCGAAAGGGGUGCUAAUACCGGAUAAUGUCUUCGGACCAAAGAUUUAUCGCCAUUGGAUGGGCCCGCGUUGGAUUAGCUAGUUGGUAGGGUAAAAGCCUACCAAGGCGACGAUCCAUAGCUGGUCUGAGAGGAUGAUCAGCCACACUGGGGCUGAGACACGGCCCGGACUCCUACGGGAGGCGGCAGUGGGGAAUAUUGGACAGUGGGCGGAAGCCUGAUCCAGCAAUGCCGCGUAAGUGAUGAAAGCCUUAGGGUUGUAAAGCUCUUUUACCCGGGAUGAUAAUGACGGUACCGGGAGAAUAAGCUCCGGCUAACUCCGUG